rnacentral:rRNA from 1 species
GACAGAGGUGCCAAGCGUUAGGCGGAAUCACUGGGCUUAAAGCGUGUGUAGGCGGGCGAUCAAGUACCUUGUGGAAAUCCCACGGCUCAACCGUGGAACUGCUGGGUAUACUGGUUGUCUUGAGCCAGCUAGGGGCGAGCGGAACAGACGGUGGAGCGGUGAAAUGCGUAGAUAUCGUCUGGAACGCCGAAGGUGAAAACAGCUCGCUGGGGCUGCGCUGACGCUGAGACACGAAAGCCAGGGGAGGCGAACGGG